GACUAGAGUGCAGUAGGGGAGUCUGGAAUUCCUGGUGUAGCGGUGAAAUGGGCAGAUAUCAGGAGGAACACCGGUGGCGAAGGCGGGACUUUGGGCUGUAACUGACACUGAGGAGCGAAAGCAUGGGGAGCGAACAGGAUUAGAUACCCUGGUAGUCCAUGCCGUAAACGUUGGGCACUAGGUGUGGGGGACAUUCCACGUUUUCCGCGCCGUAGCUAACGCAUUAAGUGCCCCGCCUGGGGAGUACGGUCGCAAGGCUAAAACUCAAAGGAAUUGACGGGGGCCCGCACAAGCGGCGGAGCAUGCGGAUUAAUUGGAU
rnacentral:rRNA from 1 species